GGAAGUAAAAAGUCGUAACAAGGUCUCCGUUGGUGAACCAGCGGAGGGAUCAUUACAGAGUUGCAAGACUCCCUAAACCAUUGUGAACCUACCUUCUACCGUUGCUUCGGCGGGCGGGCCCAGCGCCCCCCCGGCCCCCCGCGGGCGCCCGCCGGAGGAUACCCAAACUCUUGACAUUAGUGGCCUCUCUGAGUAUUCUUUACUGAAUAAGUCAAAACUUUCAACAACGGAUCUCUUGGUUCUGGCAUCGAUGAAGAACGCAGCGAAAUGCGAUAAGUAAUGUGAAUUGCAGAAUUCAGUGAAUCAUCGAAUCUUUGAACGCACAUUGCGCCCGCCAGUAUUCUGGCGGGCAUGCCUGUUCGAGCGUCAUUUCAACCAUCAAGCCCCCGGGCUUGUGUUGGGGACCUGCGGCUGCCCGCAGGCCCUGAAAACCAGUGGCGGGCUCGCUAGUCACACCGAGCGUAGUAGCAUACAUCUCGCUCAGGGCGUGCUGCGGGUUCCGGCCGUUAAACAGCCUCUGCGCUACACCCAAGGUUGACCUCGGAUCAGGUAGGAAGACCCGCUGAACUUAAGCAUAUCAAUAAGCCGGAGGAA
rnacentral:rRNA from 1 species